ACUCAAAUGAAUUGACGGGGGCCCGCACAAGCAGCGGAGCGUGUGGUUUAAUUCGAGGCUACACGAAGAACCUUACCUGGGUUUGACAUAACCGUAGUAGGGAAGCGAAAGCGGACCGACCUUCGGGAGCGGUUACAGGUGCUGCAUGGCUGUCGUCAGCUCGUGCCGUGAGGUGUUCGGUUAAGUCCGCAAACGAGCGCAACCCUCGGGAGUAGUUACAAGUGUCUACUCCGACUGCCCGUGAGAAACGGGAGGAAGGUGGGGAUGACGUCAAGUCAGCAUGGCCUUUAUAUCCAGGGCUACACACACGCUACAAUGGACGGUACAAUGGGUUGCGAGACCGCGAGGUGGAGCCAAUCGAGAAAGCCGUUCGUAGUUCGGAUUGCAGGCUGCAACUCGCCUGCAUGAAGUCGGAGUUGCUAGUAACCGCGCAUCAGCUAUGGCGCGGUGAAUACGUUCCCGGGCCUUGUACACACCGCCCGU
rnacentral:rRNA from 1 species